ensembl:snRNA U6 U6 spliceosomal RNA
GCUCAAUUUUAUAUACAUAUACUAAAAUUGGAACAAUACAGAGAAGAUUAACAUGGCCCCUGCACAAGGAUGACAUGCAAAUUCGUAAAUUGUUCCAUGUUAUA